rnacentral:rRNA from 1 species
UCCGUAGGCGGAUUAAUAAGUCAGUGGUGAAAACCUGCAGCUUAACUGUAGAACUGCCAUUGAUACUGUUAGUCUUGAGUACGGUCAAGGUAGGCGGAAUGUGUAAUGUAGCGGUGAAAUGCUUAGAUAUUACACAGAACACCGAUUGCGAAGGCAGCUUACUGGACCAUUACUGACGCUGAGGCACGAAAGCGUGGGGAGCGAACAGGAUUAGAUACCCUGGUAGUCC